rnacentral:rRNA from 1 species
AUUGAACGCUGGCGGCAGGCCUAACACAUGCAAGUCGAACGAGUGGCGGACGGGUGAGUAAUGUCUGGGAAACUGCCUGAUGGAGGGGGAUAACUACUGGAAACGGUAGCUAAUACCGCAUACCAUCAGAGGUGCCCAGAUGGGAUUAGCUUGUUGGUGGGGUAACGGCUCACCAAGGCGACGAUCCCUAGCUGGUCUGAGAGGAUGACCAGCCACACUGGAACUGAGACACGGCCCAGACUCCUACGGGAGGCAGCAGUGGGGAAUUUUGGACAAUGGGCGAAAGCCUGAUCCAGCCAUGCCGCGUGUAUGAAGAAGGCCUUCGGGUUGUAAAGUACUUUCGGCGGGGAAGCGGUAUCCGCAGAAGAAGCACCGGCUAACUACGUGCCAGCAGCCGCGGUAAUAC